rnacentral:lncRNA from 1 species
GACUCCUAAGUCCGGUACCAGCUGUAGUUCUCGGUGCUCCAGCCUGCGGACCCAGGACUCAGAGAGCACCAGACAUGAGUCAGAGACAGAGGACCUGCUGUGGGAGGACUUCCUGCACUGUGCUGAGUGUCGCUCCUCCUGCACCAGCGAGACAGACGGAGAGGAGCUGCAGUCUGCCCUGCUACCAAGAAGGAGUACAGAGAUGACCCCUUUCACCAGUUGUGUCCUCUACAGGGUCAUACAUGGCUACACAGCACCAACCCCGGUCUGGAGCGGGUCAGUGCCAUCGUCUGGGAGGGGAACGACUGUAAGAAGGCUGACAUGUCUGUCCUGGAGAUCAGCGGUAUGAUCAUGAACAGGGUCAACCUGUACACCCCAGGUAUUGGCUACCAGGUCUUUGGUAACCUGGUGUCAGUGACUCUGGGCCUGACGCCCC